rnacentral:rRNA from 2 species
UACGUAGGUGGCAAGCGUUGUCCGGAAUUAUUGGGCGUAAAGCGCGCGCAGGCGGCCGUGCAAGUCCAUCUUAAAAGCGUGGGGCUUAACCCCAUGAGGGGAUGGAAACUGCAGGGCUGGAGUGUCGGAGGGGAAAGUGGAAUUCCUAGUGUAGCGGUGAAAUGCGUAGAGAUUAGGAAGAACACCGGUGGCGAAGGCGACUUUCUAGACGACAACUGACGCUGAGGCGCGAAAGCGUGGGGAGCAAACAGG